CAGCAGCCGCGGGAAAACGUAGGUGGCAAGCGUUGUCCGGAAUUAUUGGGCGUAAAGGGCUCGCAGGCGGUUUCUUAAGUCUGAUGUGAAAGCCCCCGGCUCAACCGGGGAGGGUCAUUGGAAACCGGGAAACUUGAGUGCAGAAGAGGAGAGUGGAAUUCCACGUGUAGCGGUGAAAUGCGUAGAGAUGUGGAGGAACACCAGUGGCGAAGGCGACUCUCUGGUCUGUAACUGACGCUGAGGAGCGAAAGCGUGGGGAGCGAACAGGAUUAGAUACCCGCGUAGUCCCUGUCUCUUAUAC
rnacentral:rRNA from 1 species